rnacentral:lncRNA from 10 species
GCAACUUGACAACCAUUGUUUCAAGCCAAGAGCAAGAACAUGGCUAAACUACCCCAGACAUGAUUUAUUUUCUUAUUAAUGAAACAAGUUGGAGAGAUUUCCCAACUUCACGCAAUCAUCCAACAGCAUUCCUGUCCACAAACUUCCUUGUGUUGGAUUCUUUAGGAUAUUUCCUCCCGUUCUGUUCUUCUAAAGAUCAAGUAGAGGCCUCUAGCUGCAUGGACGAAACCCAUCUGCAUUGGGGAGAACGAUUUGCUUGACUCUAUUGAUUUACAUGUUAAUCUCAUCCAAAAGCAGCCUCACAGAAACACCUGGAAUAAUGUUUGAUCAAAUACCUCGUGGCUCAGUCAAAGGGACACAAAAAUCAACCACCAUAGACUCCGACACGAGCUUAUAGACCAGCUACAAUCAGCAGGCCUGGAAUGUACACAAAAGUUCAGUGUCUUUUGCUUUUGGAUAAAAUAAAGAUUCCUGUAACUGUGACAAAGAUACGUAUCUAGUUGGGUGUAUUAGUUUCUAGUGGCUGCCACAGCAAAGUGACACAAACCAGGUGGCUUAAAACCACAGGUGUUUAGUCUCUCACAGCUCUAGAGGCCAGAAGUCAAAAGUUGAGGUCGGUGUCAGCAGGGUCCCACUCCCAGACAACUCCAGGGGAAGCUCCUUCCUGGCCUCUCUCAGCCUCAAGAAGACCCUUGCCCAAAAUGUCCAAUGCCCCCCCCCCACCCACCCACCCAAGGAGUUGGUGAAAUAUUCCAGCCAUUUUUGCACCCAUUAGAGCUGCUCUGUCCCUCUGGGGCUCAAGAAUGAGCUUACGGGCUGGGCUGCACCCAGCACUGCCCAUUAGCUGUAACUGGCCCCGGACCAGACUCCAGGAUAGGUUUGAACCCCAAAGUGUAGGCCCUUCCUAUGCCUGGGUUGUCAUUUGGAGCUUAGGGGCCAGGCAGGAACCCUCCCCGGCUUCCAGUGCCCCAGGCAUCACUUGGCGUGCAGCUGCGUCACUGCAGUCAUGUGGCAUCUUCCCAGUGUUUCCCACCCACUUCCCUUAGUGCAGGUGUGUGUCUGUGUCCAGACUUCCCCUCUUUACAAGGACACUAGCUCUGUUGCUUUAGGGUCUACCCUAAUGACUUCAUCUUUAUUUAUUUAUUUAUUUAUUUGAGAUGGAGUCUCGCUCUGUCUCCCAGGCUGGAGUGCAGUGGCACGAUCUCGGCUCACUGCAAGCUCCACCUCCAGGGUUCAUGCCAUUCUCCUGCCUCAGCCUCCUGAGUAGCUGGGACUACAGGUGCCCGCCACCAUGCCCGGCUAAUUUUUUUUUUUUUGUAUUUUUAGUAGAGAAGGGGUUUCACCGUGUUAGCCAGUAUGAUCUCGAUCUCCUGACCUCGUGAUCUGCCCGCCUCAGCCUCCCGAAGUGCUGCGAUUACGGGCGUGAGCCACCGCUCUCGGCCCCAUGACUUCAUCUUAACUUGAUCAUCUUCAAAGUCUCUAUUUCCAAAUAAGGUCACAUUCCAAAGUACUGGGGGUUAGGAUUUUAACAUACGCUUCUGAGUGGACACAAGUCAGCCCGUGGCUGUGGGUCUCACCAGGUCCUGUGGGUAAUCCAGUCCCUGAGUUCCUCCCCCGCCGUUCCCCAGGACCUGGGGGCAUCCUGGACUUUUUGGCUGUCCACUUGACAAUGCCAUUUCCCUUUGCCCUGACCUCUCAUCCCUGCAGAAUUGUUUGCUAGUUGGGCUGUCAAGACCCUCAAAAUAGCUGUGAUGAGCCCACAGUCAACUCUCAGCCUCCAUAAGACCCUUGCCCAAAUGUCCAAUGCCACUCUCGAGGAGUUGGUGAACAUUCUAGCCAUUUGUGCACCCAUUAGUGCUGCUCUGUCCCUCUGAGGCUCAAGAAUGAGCUAAUGGGCUGGGCUGCACCUACCACUGCCCAUUGGCUGUAACUGGCCUUGGACCGGACUCUAGGAUGGGUUUGAACCCUAAAGUCUAAGCCCUUUCUACACCUGGGUUGUCAUUUGGAGCUUAGCGGGCAUGCAGGAACCCUCUCCCCAGCAUGAACCCUCUGAGAGAGGGUGGGCCAGCCAUUCUUAAAGGGCACUUUUAACAGGUCAGGACUUCUGUGGCAUACUGAGUAAAAAUAAGCGAGGGGCUGUGUGGCACUUCCUGGCUCCUGGGACCACUCUGUGGCUGGGCUCUGCUGCCCUACUCUCUGAAGUCAAUUCUGCUUUCAGGCAACCUCCUGAAAUGUGCAUCCAGCUGCUGCAAGAGGCCUGUGGCUGUGUUUCUGAGCCCUUUGCUGGGCCUCCCCACCAGACAGAAGAUGGGUUUAGCUUCUGCCUUUCUCCUAAAACCACAAUUCAUGACCCAAGAUAAGAUCUCCAUCUGACGACCCAGAGCGGACAACUUUAACUGGCUCCACUCCAAGCUCAAGGCCCGUGCCCACCUUGGAAAGAAAAGUGGCUUUUCAGGAUGCCUACAUGAGUGUGAGGAGUAAAGUCCUCUCCUCGCUCCACCUGCCCUGGAUUAUUUUCAGGCUCUCAGCCAUACAUCCUCCUCCUCAACUCCUUUCCCGUAAACAAACAUGCAGGGGUAGACCGGGGUCAGUGACACUGGAGAUGGCCAGCCCAGAAAAUCCCGACGCUUCUCCUUGCAGCCACUGUCUGUCUCUCAAAAUAAUUCAGGCUGGUUUUCAGGGUUGUAGAGUUUCAUUUGUCUUCAAUAUGCUUUGUCACCAUAAAAUACACUUGAAGUCUGUAAAGUAUUAAGAAGAGAUGUUCAGGGUUUACUCUUCCCAUCCGGCACUGUAACAUUUCUUAAGGGUGGCACCUGGAGCUGGUUUUACGCCUCUUUCUUCUGUCUUAAGAGGAACGGGACCAGGUGCCUUUUGCUUGUGUUGUGGUUUAAAAACCUCUAGGCUCAUUUUUUCCAUGGACUCUGAGUGUCUGCUGAUGCAAACAACUGGCAGGUGUCCCACUCUCAUCCACCUGUGUUGAGAGAGGGAGUCAGUAAGUGCAAAGAAAUUCUCCAGGGCGUGUAAUAUUUCUUCCAGAAGUGGGUGUUUUAA